GAUGAAUAACGUAGCGAAAUGCGAUAAGUAAUGUGAAUUGCAGAAUUCAGUGAAUCAUCGAAUCUUUGAACGCACAUUGCGCCCCUUGGUAUUCCGAGGGGCAUGCCUGUUCGAGCGUCAUUAUAACCCUCAAGCUCAGCUUGGUGUUGGGGCCUGCUGCACUGGCAGCCCUUAAAAUCAGUGGCGGCGCCAUCUGGCUCUAAGCGUAGUAAUUCUUCUCGCUAUGGAGUCCUGGUGGAUGCUUGCCAUCAACCCCCAAUUUUUCUAUGGUUGACCUCGGAUCAGGUAGGGAUACCCGCUGAACUUAAGCAUACAAUAAGCGGAGGA
rnacentral:misc_RNA from 1 species